rnacentral:rRNA from 1 species
AUACGAAGGGGGCUAGCGUUGUUCGGAAUUACUGGGCGUAAAGCGCACGUAGGCGGAUAUUUAAGUCAGGGAUGAAAUCCCAGAGCUCAACUCUGGAACUGCCUUUGAUACUGGGUAUCUUGAGUAUGGAAGAGGUGAGUGGAAUUCCGAGUGUAGAGGUGAAAUUCGUAGAUAUUCGGAGGAACACCAGUGGCGAAGGCGGCUCACUGGUCCAUUACUGACGCUGAGGUGCGAAAGCGUGGGGAGCAAACAGGAUUAGAUACCCUUGUAGUCC